UACGAAGGGGGCGAGCGUUGUUCGGAUUUACUGGGCGUAAAGGGCGCGUAGGCGGCCUUGUCAGUCAGGCGUGAAAGCCCCGGGCUCAACCUGGGAACGGCGCUUGGGACGGCGAAGCUGGAGUUCGGGAGAGGAGAGUGGAAUUCCCAGUGUAGAGGUGAAAUUCGUAGAUAUCGGGAGGAACACCAGUGGCGAAGGCGGCGAUCUGGGAAGAUACUGACGCUUAGGUGCGAAAGCGUGGGGAGCAAACAGG
rnacentral:rRNA from 1 species